CAAUAGAUGACUGAAAGUAAGUAUGGGUCUCUUAAACCUUAUAAUAAUAGAUUAACAACUAUUUCUAUUG
rnacentral:tRNA from 1 species